AUGCAAGUCGAACGAUGAACUUCCUUCGGGAGGGGAUUAGUGGCGAACGGGUGAGUAACACGUGGGCAAUCUGCCCUUCACUCUGGGACAAGCCCUGGAAACGGGGUCUAAUACCGGAUAACACUGCGGAUCGCAUGGUCUGCGGUUGAAAGCUCCGGCGGUGAAGGAUGAGCCCGCGGCCUAUCAGCUUGUUGGUGGGGUGAUGGCCUACCAAGGCGACGACGGGUAGCCGGCCUGAGAGGGCGACCGGCCACACUGGGACUGAGACACGGCCCAGACUCCUACGGGAGGCAGCAGUGGGGAAUAUUGCACAAUGGGCGAAAGCCUGAUGCAGCGACGCCGCGUGAGGGAUGACGGCCUUCGGGUUGUAAACCUCUUUCAGCAGGGAAGAAGCGAAAGUGACGGUACCUGCAGAAGAAGCGCCGGCUAACUACGUGCCAGCAGCCGCGGUAAUACGUAGGGCGCAAGCGUUGUCCGGAAUUAUUGGGCGUAAAGAGCUCGUAGGCGGCUUGUCACGUCGGAUGUGAAAGCCCGGGGCUUAACCCCGGGUCUGCAUUCGAUACGGGCAGGCUAGAGUGUGGUAGGGGAGAUCGGAAUUCCUGGUGUAGCGGUGAAAUGCGCAGAUAUCAGGAGGAACACCGGUGGCGAAGGCGGAUCUCUGGGCCAUUACUGACGCUGAGGAGCGAAAGCGUGGGGAGCGAACAGGAUUAGAUACCCUGGUAGUCCACGCCGUAAACGUUGGGAACUAGGUGUUGGCGACAUUCCACGUCGUCGGUGCCGCAGCUAACGCAUUAAGUUCCCCGCCUGGGGAGUACGGCCGCAAGGCUAAAACUCAAAGGAAUUGACGGGGCCCGCACAAGCAGCGGAGCAUGUGGCUUAAUUCGACGCAACGCGAA
rnacentral:rRNA from 1 species